CCUACGGGAGGCAGCAGUCGAGAAUCAUUCACAAUGGGGGAAACCCUGAUGGUGCGACGCCGCGUGGGGGAAUGAAGGUCUUAGGAUUGUAAACCUCUGUCAUGUGGGAGCAAAUUAAGAAGAUAGUACCACAAGAGGAAGAGACGGCUAACUUUGUGCCAGCAGCCGCGGUAAUACAGAGGUCUCAAGCUUUGUUCGGAAUCACUGGGCGGAAAGCGUGCGGAGGCUGUAUCGUAAGUCGUGUGUGAAAGGCGCGGGCUCAACCCGCGGGCGGCACAUGAUACUGCGAGACUAGAGUAAUGGAGGGGGAACCGGAAUUCUCGGUGUAGCAGUGAAAUGCGUAGAUAUCGAGAGGAACACUCGUGGCGAAGGCGGGUUCCUGGACAUUAACUGACGCUGAGGCACGAAGGCCAGGGGAGCGAAAGGGAUUAGAUACCCGAGUAGUC
rnacentral:rRNA from 1 species